GUUAGCGGCGGACGGGUGAGUAACACGUGGAUAACCUACCUAUAAGACUGGGAUAACUUCGGGAAACCGGAGCUAAUACCGGAUAAUAUUUUGAACCGCAUGGUUCAAAAGUGAAAGACGGUCUUGCUGUCACUUAUAGAUGGAUCCGCGCUGCAUUAGCUAGUUGGUAAGGUAACGGCUUACCAAGGCAACGAUGCAUAGCCGACCUGAGAGGGUGAUCGGCCACACUGGAACUGAGACACGGUCCAGACUCCUACGGGAGGCAGCAGUAGGGAAUCUUCCGCAAUGGGCGAAAGCCUGACGGAGCAACGCCGCGUGAGUGAUGAAGGUCUUCGGACCGUAAAACUCUGUAUUAGGGAAGAACAUAUGUGUAAGUAACUGUGCACAUCUUGACGGUACCUAAUCAGAAAGCCACGGCUAACUACGUGCCAGCAGCCGCGGUAAUACGUAGGUGGCAAGCGUUAUCCGGAAUUAUUGGGCGUAAAGCGCGCGUAGGCGGUUUUUUAAGUCUGAUGUGAAAGCCCACGGCUCAACCGUGGAGGGUCAUUGGAAACUGGAAAACUUGAGUGCAGAAGAGGAAAGUGGAAUUCCAUGUGUACNGGUGAAAUGCGCAGAGAUAUGGAGGAACACCAGUGGCGAAGGCGACUUUCUGGUCUGUAACUGACGCUGAUGUGCGAAAGCGUGGGGAUCAAACAGGAUUAGAUACCCUGGUAGUCCACGCCGUAAACGAUGAGUGCUAAGUGUUAGGGGUUUCCGCCCCUUAGUGUCUGCAGCUACGUCAUUAAGCACUCCG
rnacentral:rRNA from 1 species